CGGUCCCUCUAAAUCAAUCCUUUACACGUUUUAAGUCCAUGACACGUGUCGAUAUAUUAUUGGACAUGAAUUUUCAAGGUGUUACAUGAAUUAACUUCUUUAAUGAGUUAUUACAAAAAACGGUUUUUACUUUUUAAUUUGGGCAGCAGCAGAAAAGCAUAGAGUAAAUAUAUCCAAAUGGUGCUGGAUGAACAGGUGUUGGAACAGGCUUCUGGUGGAACUGCGACCCAAGUCAGAGGUAUACCGGAACCAGCGGAUCUGGUGGUUACGGCGUCUAGGGUUCCGCCACAAGUGGCAGAUAUAAUUGCCACGUAGUUGUACAGACCUGACCAGAAAAGAAUCAUCGCCGUAGCUGUGACGGUGGCAUAUGAACGGGGAUGCAGGCAUCUUCUUUUCUUGGAUGGAUCCGCUCAUGUCUUUGGGAUAUAAAAGACCUCUUACAGAAAAGGAUAUAUGGAAACCGGACACCUGGACCAAACAGAAACACUAAACAACAAAUUUCAAUCAUGCUGGGCGGACGAGGUCCAUAAACCUAAACCAUGGCUUUUAAGGGCCUUACAUCGUAGUCUUGGAGGAAGG